rnacentral:rRNA from 1 species
AUUGAACGCUGGCGGCAGGCCUAACACAUGCAAGUCGAACGAGUGGCGGACGGGGGAGUAAUGUCUGGGAAACUGCCCGAUGGAGGGGGAUAACUACUGGAAACGGUAGCUAAUAACGCGUACCAUCGGAUGUUCCCAGAUGGGAUUAGCUUGUGGGUGGGUUAACGGCUCACCUAGGCGACGAUCCCUCGCUGGUCUGAGAGGAUGACCAGCCAAACUGGACCUGAGACACGGUCCAGACUCCUACGGGAGGCGGCAGUGGGGAAUAUUGCACAAUGGCCGCAAGCCUGAUGCAGCCAGGCCGCGUGUAUGAAGAGGGCCUUCGGGUUUUAAAGUACUUUAAGCGGGGAGGCGUUACCCGCAGAAGAAGCACCGGCUAACUCCGUGCCAGCCGCCGCGGUAAUAC